AAAUCCGUAGACAGAGUAACUAAUAGACCCAAUGACGAUACCUUUCUCACUUACACAAGAAAGAGAGCGAAAAUACCAUAACAAAUGCAUAAGACAAAGACACAAAUACCCAAUUUUUUGUCCCUUAGUGUGUAACCUGUUUUUCAAGAUCCGCAACUUGAGUUGCGAAACAAACUUUGACAGUUCGUGCCUUCAUCGUGCUUGGUGUUCGAAUUUUGGAUAUUAUUUAGUAAAAAAUCGAUACGAGUACAUUGAAAAGACGGUGAAAUUAUCUUAAUAUAGACAUCGAAGUAAAUAGAAUGGUGCGUUGUCGUGUUAUUGCAUGUAUAAGCGAUAGUGAGAAGAAAAUUGCCGGUGUGUCUUUUCACGCAUGAUCCAGACCUACGUAAUUAAUGGAUCGAAGUGGUAGAAAAGAUUGGAUUCUCACUAAAUAUUGUAAAAUAUGAACAAGCCAAUGAAAAAGUAAGAAAUGUGUUUCGUCAUCAAUAAUCAAUCUGCUUAUAUUUUUUGUAUCUACUAAAUUGAUUAUAAAGACAAAAGAAAAAUCUCA